UACGGAGGGUGCAAGCGUUGUCCGGAUUUAUUGGGUUUAAAGGGUGCGUAGGCGGCGUAGUAAGUCCGUGGUGAAAGCCAACAGCUCAACUGUUGAACUGCCAUGGAUACUGCUAGGCUUGAGUACAGACGAGGUAGGCGGAAUGGGUAGUGUAGCGGUGAAAUGCAUAGAUACUAUCCAGAACACCGAUUGCGAAGGCAGCUUACUAGACUGUAACUGACGCUGAGGCACGAAAGCGUGGGGAGCGAACAGG
rnacentral:rRNA from 1 species